AACGAACGCUAGCGGCAGGCCUAACACAUGCAAGUCGAACGCCCUAGCAAUAGGGAGUGGCAGACGGGUGAGUAACGCGUGGGAACGUGCCUUUCGGUUCGGAAUAACUCAGGGAAACUUGAGCUAAUACCGGAUACGCCCUUCGGGGGAAAGAUUUAUUGCCGAAAGAUGGGCCCUCGUCCGAGUAGCUAGUUGGUGAGGUAAAGGCUCACCAAGGCGACGGUCGGUAGCUGGUCUGAGAGGAUGAUCAGCCACACUGGGACGGAGACACGGCCCAGACUCGUACGGGAGGCAGAAGUGGGGAAUAUUGGACAAUGGGGGCAAGCAUGAUCCAGCCAUGCCGCGUGAGGGAUGAAGGCCCUAGGGUUGUAAAGCUCUUUCGCCAGGGACGAUAAUGACGGUACCUGGAUAAGAAGCCCCGGCUAACUUCGUGCCAGCCGCCGCGGUAA
rnacentral:rRNA from 1 species